rnacentral:hammerhead_ribozyme from 1 species
ACUAACUGAUGAGUCCCAAAUAGGACGAAACGCGCGUCCUGAAU